CUGAGAUGUGCGAGCGCGCAGGGGUGCUUGGGGAGGACGCGACGGGAGAACGAAGCGCCUGGCAGAAUAUGCAGAUUUCCGGCUCCCAUUUUUGCAAAAAGUGAGAAAUGCGUGAAGACUACAAUAUGUAGAUAUAUUUUGAAGAAGAAUUGAACCUGCGAUCAAAAUUAUGGAUGAUUUGGAACGAUCGUUUCAAGAACUAUCAUUUGAAGUAUCAUCAAGCUUGGAGGAGGAAAGGUAUACGUUUGGUAUCGAAGAAUCAAGAAUUGAGUGUUAGAGGUAGUGGAAGAUAUAAAUCACCAAAUUUAUGCUCUGAAUUAGAAAGGUUGUUGGACUAUUGUGAAGACUCCAAUGUCCAUGAAAAACAGACAUUAUUAAUGAGUUUACAUGGCAUUCUGAUAAUAAAAAGAAUACUUUGAC